rnacentral:rRNA from 1 species
ACGAACGCUGGCGGCAUGCCUAACACAUGCAAGUCGAACGAGACCUUCGGGUCUAGUGGCGCACGGGUGCGUAACGCGUGGGAAUCUACCUCAGGUUCGGAAUAACUCAGAGAAAUUUGAGCUAAUACCGGAUGAUGACGUAAGUCCAAAGAUUUAUCGCCUGAGGAUGAGCCCGCGUAGGAUUAGGUAGUUGGUGAGGUAAAGGCUCACCAAGCCGACGAUCCUUAGCUGGUCUGAGAGGAUGAUCAGCCACACUGGGACUGAGACACGGCCCAGACUCCUACGGGAGGCAGCAGUGGGGAAUAUUGGACAAUGGGCGAAAGCCUGAUCCAGCAAUGCCGCGUGAGUGAUGAAGGCCUUAGGGUUGUAAAGCUCUUUUACCCGGGAUGAUAAUGACAGUACCGGGAGAAUAAGCUCCGGCUAACUCCGUG